rnacentral:rRNA from 1 species
GGUCGGACAUCAGGAGGUUAGUGCAAUGGCAUAAGCUAGCUUGACUGCGAGCGUGACGGCGCGAGCAGGUGCGAAAGCAGGUCAUAGUGAUCCGGUGGUUCUGAAUGGAAGGGCCAUCGCUCAACGGAUAAAAGGUACUCCGGGGAUAACAGGCUGAUACCGCCCAAGAGUUCAUAUCGACGGCGGUGUUUGGCACCUCGAUGUCGGCUCAUCACAUCCUGGGGCUGAAGUAGGUCCCAAGGGUAUGGCUGUUCGCCAUUUAAAGUGGUACGCGAGCUGGGUUUAGAACGUCGUGAGACAGUUCGGUCCCUAUCUGCCGUGGGCGCUGGAGAAUUGAGGGGGGCUGCUCCUAGUACGAGAGGACCGGAGUGGACGCAUCACUGGUGUUCGGGUUGUCAUGCCAAUGGCACUGCCCGGUAGCUAAAUGCGGAAGAGAUAAGUGCUGAAAGCAUCUAAGCACGAAACUUGCCCCG